UUGACCUACGGGGGGCAGCAGUGGGGAAUAUUGCACAGUGGGGGAAACCCUGAUGCAGCGACGCCGCGUGAGUGAAGAAGUAUUUCGGUAUGUAAAGCUCUAUCAGCAGGGAAGAUAAUGACGGUACCUGACUAAGAAGCCCCGGCUAACUACGUGCCAGCAGCCGCGGUAAUACGUAGGGGGCAAGCGUUAUCCGGAAUUACUGGGUGUAAAGGGAGCGUAGACGGUAAUGCAAGUCUGGAGUGAAAGGCGGGGGCCCACCCCCCGGACUGCUCUGGAAACUGUGUAACUGGAGUGCGGGAGAG
rnacentral:rRNA from 1 species